GACGUAGGGCGCGAGCGUUGUCCGGAUUUAUUGGGCGUAAAGAGCUCGUAGGCGGCUUGUCGCGUCGUUCGUGAAAACCCGGAGCUCAACUCCGGGCCUGCAGUCGAUACGGGCAGACUGGAGUUCGGCAGGGGAGACUGGAAUUCCUGGUGUAGCGGUGAAAUGCGCAGAUAUCAGGAGGAACACCGGUGGCUAAGGCGGCUCUGUAGUACGGUACUGACGCUGAGACGCGAAAGCGUGGGGAGCGAACAGG
rnacentral:rRNA from 1 species